CCCCUCCAGCACCAUGAUUAAGAGGGGAUGACUACUCCACUCCACUAUCAUUGUCAACUCUCGCCUGACAUUAACUGAAGCCACGUCUCACGUGCCACUCAUCCACCGGCACAUUGAAUGUUUCCCCUCCAAGCACUUCAAAUCCUGUCCUGCACUGAAGUCAAGACUCUGAACACCUCAACUCAUGCAUCAUACUCUCAUUCAAUCACAAUCCCUUCCCAACACUGUAUGCUGAACUGAGUCAGACCUGCAUGGGACGCCAGGUGAGUGGACUCUCUAGCCAUUCAAGAACAUCUAUGUAUUAACUCCCCGGUAGUACAUAAAAAUGUCAUCAGUUCAGGCCUCAGGGAGUGGA